GGUGUAGGCGGCUGCGCAAGUGUCCUGUGAAAUCCCCCGGCUCAACCGGGGAAUGGCAGGGCAAACUACGUGGCUUGAGGCUGGUAGAGGUGCCUGGAACUCUCGGUGGAGCGGUGAAAUGCGUAGAUAUCGAGAGGAACGCCAGAGGCGAAAGCGGGGCGCUGGGCCGGCUCUGACGCUGAGACCCGAAAGCGUGGGGAGCAAACAGGAUUAGAUACCCUGGUAGUCCACGCCGUAAACGAUGCACACUAGGCGUCGGGACUUCUGAUGGUGCCGGCGCCGCAGGAAAACUGCUAAGUGUGCCGCCUGGGGAGUACGGCCGCAAGGCUAAA
rnacentral:rRNA from 1 species